rnacentral:rRNA from 1 species
AUUGAACGCUGGCGGCAGGCUUAACACAUGCAAGUCGAGCGGGGUGAUGGUGCUUGCACUAUCACUUAGCGGCGGACGGGUGAGUAAUGCUUAGGAAUCUGCCUAUUAGUGGGGACAACAUCUCGAAAGGGAUGCUAAUACCGCAUACGUCCUACGGGAGAAAGCAGGGGAUCACUUGUGACCUUGAGCUAAUAGAUGAGCCGAAGUCGGAUUAGCUAGUUGGUGGGGUAACGGCCUACCAAGGCGACGAUCUGUAGCGGGUCUGAGAGGAUGAUCCGCCACACUGGGACUGAGACACGGCCCAGACUCCUACGGGAGGCAGCAGUGGGGAAUAUUGGACAAUGGGGGGAACCCUGAUCCAGCCAUGCCGCGUGUGUGAAGAAGGCCUUAUGGUUGUAAAGCACUUUAAGCGAGGAGGAGGCUCUUUUGGUUAAUACCCAAGAUGAGUGGACGUUACUCGCAGAAUAAGCACCGGCUAACUCUGUGCCAGCAGCCGCCGUAA